UACAGAGGGUGCGAGCGUUGUUCGGAAUUACUGGGCGUAAAGCGCGCGUAGGCGGACCUGCAAGUCGGGGGUGAAAGCCCGAGGCUCAACCUCGGAACUGCCUUCGAUACUGCGGGUCUCGAGUCCGGGAGAGGUGAGUGGAAUUCCUAGUGUAGAGGUGAAAUUCGUAGAUAUUCGCAAGAACACCAGUGGCGAAGGCGGCUCACUGGCCCGGUACUGACGCUGAGGUGCGAAAGCGUGGGGAGCAAACAGG
rnacentral:rRNA from 1 species